UUUAAUUCAUUUAGACAGGAUACAUUAGGUGAGAAAAUUACGAAUCGACCAAAAUACGUGAUAAAAUAAAAUGAUAACAUCUUAGGAGAUUUAUCUAAAUUAAUUAGUUAGAGUGUUCAAAUAAAUACAAAUAAACAAGUUAAAAUGGAAACUAAAGAGAAACAGUUUUAAAUAUUGGGCCCUUGUCAAAUCUGGUCAACUUUUGGGCCUAUUCUUCUUGGACUUUUGGUCCAUUUCUGCAAUGUAUACCCAGUUGUAUACUGACUGUAUAUCAGAUUUUCUGCUGCUGCGUUUUUGUAUAUAUACAGCGUAUAUAAGACCGUAUACUGGUCAAAUAUAUACAUAUUUUUUGCCUUCCAACCACAUAAUCAGCUUCCUUUUCCAUGUAUCCUUUUCCAAGCCUGUAUAAUGGUGUAUAUCUGUUGUAUACAAGCACAAAGCAGUCCCCUUGGGACUUGGAUCUGAGGUUUUGACUCGAUGCAAAUCAGGUUUAACCCAACGGAAUGUGAGAGAGGGAGUCCGAGGGACUCAACGGAGGAUUUCAUGCAUAUAAAAAAGGGUAAAGAUUAGUAUCGAGAAGUAGAUCAAGUACUAAAUCGUUUCACGCAUAAUCAAAAAAAGGGUAAAGGGGUCAAGUGAGAAAUAUUCGAAACAGAAUUACCAAAACAUUCAAUCACUAGUAGACAUACUAUUUACUGUGUGAGCAACAAUUUUUCAAGAAAAGAACAUUAUGAUUUAGAAAGAAAGAAAAAAAAAUACUUAGGCAUCCUAUUUUUGAAACUGUAACUUCAACCUAGGCAUGCUAUAUUUAGAGUAGAUUAAUGAUAAUCCAAACAAGAAAGAAUUAUUUUUUAUCACAAACCAUGAUUCAGUAUAUCAUCAAGAACUAUAUUCACUUUUCAAGAAAAAUAAAGGGGAACCAAAAUCAUGUUCAAAGAAAGAGGGAUCAACUGGAAUGGCACAUCCCUGCCUCCAUUUCAUUUAGUCACAUAAUAAUUCCAAAGGAAACAAAACCAAAGUUAAACACAAGUAUGAUACAUAUGAAACGAGUUGAAUUAUUACUCCUAAAAAAAUCUUCCCUUUUUUUUCGAUGAAUCAAAUAUCAUGAUAAACAAAACAGUAAAGAAGCCCAUCACUAAAUUCGUAUAGAAUAUUAUCAACAAAAUGUAUGAAAACACAAAGCUAGAAGCAAGAGAUGUGAGAAAUAACUAAGACAAGAGCAUUGACUCAAUAAACCUAUAGCAAUAAUGAAAAUCCUACGUCCUUCAAGGCCUUCUACAGCACAUAAUCCCAGCAGCCUCACCUAAUGUGAAAUUCCAACAACAACAACUAACUCAAUAGUAACAGCCUUCCACCAUCAGUAAUGAGAUUACGCGUUACAACGAUUAAAGAGCAAAAGAGAAAGAGCGAGAGGGUGAAUUGCUCACCUGUUUUCGGGCAGCGAACGAAACAAUUGAGCCUAUCACGUUGCAACUUCCACCACCGGAAUGCCAACUAGCCUUGCCGGAGUUCAACAGUUUCAUCGGAAUUCAAUUUUUGGAGUAUGUUCGCCGAGAAUUUUGGUUUCGUGAGGUUAAAAGCAAGCGCCUUUAGAACCCCCAAUUUUUUCCCAAAAUCCCCCUUACCUUCUUCCCCUCAAUUCCCAUUUAUACAAGAAGAUAUUGAUUUUUCCGUCUUUAAAAAAUAGAGAAAAUAUAUCCCUGAAAUUCAGAUUUGGACUGACACUUUCUGAUUUGAAUUGGAUUUUAGAAUUGAAGACACUCAAUCUUGAGCAGAAGGUCAACAAAGAUGGCUCUAGGCCUGCCAAAUUGCAAAGAUAAGACGAAAAGAGAUGUAUUUUCGUGAUUCAAGGGGUUUGUUGGGUUGAAUUUUUGGUGUUCACAGGUCGGGUUGUAGCCGUUGUUGUCACUGUUUUAGGUUUUGAUAGGUUGAAAUUGUCGUUGGAUUUCAACAAGUUGUUGUUCGGGUCGGUUUGCCUGCAGCUGGUGUUGUCGUUGUUUAUUGUUGUUUGCUGGUUUUGUUGAUA
rnacentral:lncRNA from 1 species